GCUGGGCGUGGUAGCGCGUGCCUGUAAUCCCAGCUACUUGGGAGGCUGAGGCAGGAGAAUCGCUUGAACCCAGGAGAUGGAGGUUGCAGUAAGCCGAGAUUGUGCCACUGCACUCCAACCUGGGUGACAGAGUGAGAUUCCAUCUCAA
rnacentral:sRNA from 1 species